UUGAGCCGGAUGCGGGGCGACUCGCUCGUCCGGUUCUUAGGGGCGGUGGCGCAGCAAUGCACCACCGCUACCCGAC
rnacentral:ncRNA from 1 species